AAGCCGAUAAUAAUCGUUUGUCCCUUUCCGACGUAUUGGUAUGAUGGCAAGGGACAAACGAUUAUUAUCGGCUUGUCAACUUUAGUAAACGUUUAUGAAUAAGGGGGUUAGUAGGUAGGUUGACCAGUAUUUUGCAGCUUUGAGAAUAAAUUACUUGGUCGUAUUUGCGCAAAUAAAGAUCUGCGUCUCUUUUCUUUCUUUUUUGUAGGAAAGAGAUGCAGGCAAAUAUUUGGGCAUAUAUAGCUGAGUUGACCUGAAGGUCUCAAAAACAAAAAGUAUAAGAUUCAAUCAAAAUUAUCCCCAAUUGCUUUACUAUGUAAACAUAUGAUUAUGAAGCACACAUAUGGUCACAAAACCUUCCGCAAAUGGGUAUACGAGCAUUCCAUAAGUGUUUACUAUUCGAAUACUUGUAAUAUUAAUGAUUCAUGCGAAUAAAUAAUGUUGCUGUGCAAA